GAUGAACGCUGGCGGCGUGCCUAAUACAUGCAAGUCGAGCGAACGGACGAGAAGCUUGCUUCUCUGAUGUUAGCGGCGGACGGGUGAGUAACACGUGGAUAACCUACCUAUAAGACUGGGAUAACUUCGGGAAACCGGAGCUAAUACCGGAUAAUAUUUUGAACCGCAUGGUUCAAAAGUGAAAGACGGUCUUGCUGUCACUUAUAGCUGGAUCCGCGCUGCAUUAGCUAGUUGGUAAGGUAACGGCUUACCAAGGCAACGAUGCAUAGCCGACCUGAGAGGGUGAUCGGCCACACUGGAACUGAGACACGGUCCAGACUCCUACGGGAGGCAGCAGUAGGGAAUCUUCCGCAAUGGGCGAAAGCCUGACGGAGCAACGCCGCGUGAGUGAUGAAGGUCUUCGGAUGGUAAAACUCUGUUAUUAGGGAAGAACAUAUGUGUAAGUAACUGUGCACAUCUUGACGGUACCUAAUCAGAAAGCCACGGCUAACUACGUG
rnacentral:rRNA from 1 species